rnacentral:lncRNA from 1 species
CUCGGGGCAGACGGCAGGACCAGGGCUGAUGCUGUGCCUGCCUGGCCCGGCCCCGCCGGCGAAGCCUCUCCGGGGUGAGGAUCAGCAGCUGGACUGACAAACGAGUGCGAGAGGGGAGGGUAGGUGGAGAAAUCCCCUGGUGAAGUGUGGCUGAUCUUCCUUUUAGAAGAUGCUCAGCCACAAUGGUACAUCCACCUGGGCUCACUGUUUAUUGUAUUUUACAGCUCAUUGGAAGACGCAUGUUGGCAGCCCAGAUCCAAACAUGAUUUUCGCAACUGCCAACUCUGCCAUGUCACCCUGAGACCUGAAAAUAUAUCUGCCACCUCUCUGCUAGUAAUGAUUUCAGCAGUGAUAUGAGUUCCACUGCUCAGACCUUUCUUGGGAUCUGCUGACUUGGAGGGCCAAGACAGACCUGCUCGUUCUUCCGUGGCUGCUUUGGAUGUUGACACACCAACAGAUUGAGCCACAGGAGACCUAAGUAGUUCUCCUACAACUUGGCACACUGUUUUCACUACGGUGAGUACAAGGCUACUAUUUUCACAUGGCUGUUUUGUUACAUUUUAAACCAAAAACAUCUUUUUACGGGGAACAGGAAGAACAUACACCAGGUCUUCGGUUGCUGAAAAGUUUUACUAAAUUCAACAAGGUUCCACUAGCGUGCUCAAGCUGAGAAAUCAUCUCACAAGCCAAGGGAACCAUCACCAGGAAGCAAUAUACGAGACUGACCUUUUUUAUGUUCAAACUUCCAAACACUGUGUGUGCAAUCUUAGUUGAAGUGAGUCAUUCUUCCAACACUCACAGAGCUCCAGCAUGCACCAAGACACAUAAUGAACUUGUCCAGGCUCAGAACAUUUGACACUGAAUCUGUCACGGAUCAGAUUACUUCACUGUCCUACUUCUGAAAACAUGGGGACCUUAUCUUAGCAUUCUUAUGUGCCCGUCUUGAAGAAGAUAGCCAGGGCUGUCAGCAUGCAGAGGUGAUGGGUGAUGCUCUGCUAAGGGGAUAGCACUUCCUGAGAAAGAAUUCCUGGGAUCCAAAGAUGUAGACAACCUAGAUACAUGUUGCUUGCAAUUGCCAGCAAAACCAGAAACUUCAGCUUAUUUCUCUUCAUAUCACUUCAAAUAACCUGAUUUUUAAUGCUGGGCAGUAAUCAUGCAAAAAAGUGUAUGGCCUCUGUAACAUUUCUGCAAUAAAAAGGAUAAACAUUGAAAUUCUGAAUGCUUU